UGUCUCUGGUGUGUGUCAUUUCCAGCUGACUGGUAAAGAUGGAGAAGGGGAGAGGAGGAGGAGGAGGAAGGAGCCUGGGAGGCUCCGGCUUGCACAGGAGCGUGUACUCCCAGUCUCAGCAGCAGUAUCAGUACUCAGCCUCCUCUCCAGGCGGCUGCAUGGAGAUCCAGGAGCUGGCCUCCAAGAGGGUGGACAUCCAGAAAAAGCGAUUUUACCUGGAUGUGAAGCAGAGCUCCCGAGGGCGCUUCCUGAAGAUAGCAGAGGUCUGGAUAGGAAGGGGGAGGCAAGACAACAUCAGGAAAAGUAAACUGACUCUCUCCUUGUCCGUGGCAGCCGAGCUGAAGGAUUGCCUGGGCGAUUUCAUUGAACACUAUGCCCAUUUGGGCCUAAAAGGCAGCCAUAGUCAUAGACAUGAGCACAGUAAUGGCAAAGAGCAGGAUCUGAGGAGGCGGCAGCCGCAUCAUCCUCCUUCCCCUCCCACAUCUGUUGGAUCUGAAGAACAUCCCCAUAGUGUCCUGAAAACUGAGUACAUAGAAAGAGACAACAGAAAAUAUUACUUAGAUCUAAAGGAGAAUCAGCGUGGGCGCUUCCUAAGGAUUAGACAAACUAUGAUCAGAGGACCUGGCAUGAUAGGCUAUUUUGGCCACAGUUUGGGACAGGAACAGACUAUUGUCCUUCCGGCGCAAGGGAUGAUUGAAUUCAGGGAUGCUUUGGUCCAGCUAAUUGAAGAGUACGGUGAGGGGGAUAUAGAGGAACGAAGAAGUGGGGGUGAUGAGCCCCCUGAACUUCCAGAGGGGACUUCCUUCAGGGUGGACAACAAGCGAUUCUAUUUUGAUGUGGGAUCCAACAGUAAUGCUGUAGGUUACAGACUUGGACCCUAGUUCCACUGAAGUGAGUUGGAGUUCUGCCAGUUAUUUCAAUGGAAACAGGACUGGGCCAGUUUCCUUAUACAGGUGAGAAUCCAAGACACAGUGUAAUUCCGGCAAUGCUGUCUUCAGCACACCAUCAUCCUUCCUGACAGACCUGCCAAGACAAGAACAGUUUGAAAAAUAUUAGUCCUUUGGUGGGAAAUUUUCAAAGACUAUCAAUUGUUGCAAGAAGUGGUGAUUAGAGUUGUCACUCAUCUCUCUGAGUUAGUACUUGACUUGUGAUUGAAUCAUUAGUGACAGCCAUUGCAAACAUUGUAUUGGAGAGCUGUUUCUGUAAGUGCUGUUUCUUGAAACAGAUCUGGACCAUUUACUGUGGUCAGAUACCAUUGCUUUUAGCGAUAUAAAAAUUAAUUCCUGGUUCCUGGCUAAAUUUUGAUUUGGUUAAUUAUAUUCUACCAAACUAAUUUCCCGCAGCAUUUUCAGUUGUAUACAAUUCUUUUCCUCUUUCCACCCUGAAAUUCAAGCUAGUACUGUUACAUUUAGUUAAAAAACUGUUGAAUUUCAUCCCAAAAGCUGUAGUAUUUUGUAGUAGGUAGAGCAAUCUCCACACUCCCCUUAUCAAUCACACUUACUGGGACACAUGCAUAUUAUAAACAUUAAUAAAACACUUUACAAACAAGAGCAGGGGCCUGAACUUAAAGACUUUGGAGGUCUGUUCCAACUCUGUGCCCUGCUUUUCUAUCGCCAAGGGAGUCAGUACACAAGAACAAUGAAUGAAAAGUAGAUCUUUUUUAUUUUAGUUGUGCACAGUUAUUUUAGAACAGCAAUAAAAUUCUACACUUUCAAAGAUGAAACAGUUUAGCAGUUCCAGGACAUAAGGUAUGCAUAAGAAUACAGUCCAUCCAAGACCAGAAAGCAUUAUUUUUCUGAAGAUGAACUGAGGGAUUGACCCUGCAAACUCACAGCUUACAGUAUUCUUAAUGAUACCAUUGGGAAUUCUUUUGGAAUUGGGUCAAAAUGCAAUUGCUAUACUAUCUAUAUAACAGUUGUCUCAUUAAUUAGUAACAUAGCUUUUUUUAAGAAUAUUUACAUUUUUUAACAAUUGAGCAGAAAAUUGGUAAGACCACAGAGGAUGGAGGAAACCAUUACCUGAAAUUGGUUUUAUGCUACACCAGACUUAUUAUCUUUGCAGUAAACUGCAUGUAAUCUUAAAAAAAAAAAAAAAAAAAAGGUUCCCUAAUGGCCUUAUGCUUUUUGGUAAAGAAAGAUCUCAAAUUUCUUCUGAUAUUCUACAGUAUAUUUCAUAGAGGAAUCACUUUAUAUAGCACUGGAAAAUAGCAUUUAUUUGUGAAGUGCAAGUGCCUUCAACUUCUGGUCACAAAAACUGAGUAGUCUUUGUGCCUGAAAGCGUGUCUAACAUAGCUCCCAACUAUGCGGUUGGUCUAACAAAAGAUAUCACUAAAAUGUCUUGCUUCUUGCAUAUUUCCUGGACCAUUAUGGCUUCAAACCACAUUCUAAACUUGCUGAUAAAGUAUUCUUGGGUAAAAUGUGCUUUUUUUGAACCAUUUAUAUGUGUAAAAAGUUCACAUAAUGACAGAGAGCAAAACAGGUAGAAAGCACAAAUUUGACCUAGUCUUGCCCUUUAUGGGCACGUCCAAUCAAGCAUGGAAGUUUGGUUCCCUGGGGAGAAGUAACAGUAGCGCACCUUGUGCCACCGUUACUUGUCGCCAGGGAACGCCUGUGCCAUGCGUGCUUUGGCACGUGGCAAGUUACCCUGGGUGGGGUAGGGGAGGCUGGGACCAGCACUGGGCUGGCCCCAGCAGCCUUACCUGGGUCCUGGGGGCCUCCCGGGGCUGCAGCAGAAGAGAUUCUGCCUUGGAGAGCCUGGCCAGCAACUACAGCACAGCUCUGGGCAGCCCAGCUUUGCUUUUGAGCAGUGCACCCUGCCUGUGCGUUUGCUGCUCCACUUUUUUUCUGCAGGUUUUUUUGACCCCUGGAUAUCCCUUGCAGCGCUCCCUUGCAGCAGAGAACAUCUAAAUGUGCAGUAUGUGGUGCUGCAGACAUGUUUGUGGUGCCACAUACCGUAUGGCCUCGCUCAUCUGAAUGCGGCCUGUGUGUUCUUUCAUCAUUGUAAGUCAACAAUGGAUGUAAUGCAUCAAGACUUGUCUGUAUGACAGUGAAGGGAAGCUUUCUGAUUAACACAUUAUUAAUUUCACUUUUUAACUUUAAUUAUAGGUAUUUGCGAAUUAUUAAAGUCUAGUUAAAAGAAUACAAAAGUAAACUGUAAAAACAGUUUUGAUAUUUAAGUUCUGAUACUCCUGAACAUUCAGUGUAAACAGUGUUUGAUUCUUAAAAAUUGAAAGCUAAAAACAGUGUUAGUAAAAAUGUUAUAUAAGAAAGUAAAACUGUAAAUUGCGAGUGCCUUUUUAGUGCUUAUUGUGAAAAUGCAUUUAAACAUAUUCCAGAACUUUUUUGUAAUAUUGCUUUCAGGGUUGUCAGGAAAAUGCAACCCACAUUGUUUUAGUUAAAGUCUGCAAAUGUAGCCCAAUUAGUGGUUCUUUUCAAAUGGUUUCUAACAAUGAAAUGCCAUUACAUUUUUUAUGAAUGUUCUAAUCUUUGAGUAUUUGGUAAAUCAAGUGUGUAGGUAAGUAUAUACGUGAAAGAGGAUAGAUUCAUGAGGUGUGAUAUGGUACAAAGCUUUUAUCAGUAUGGCCUAGAGAUUAUCUUCUGAAUGAAUUGAAUUAGUGCAAUCUAUCCCAUAUGCGCACCAAUAAAACUUGUACCACAUGCCACCACAUAUACAAUAACACGCAUUAUUUUAGGAGGGUUUUAGAAUGUAUAGCAGCUAUACUGGGACUAGUGUUGUAUCCUUCACACUGCUAAUACCAGAUUAGUUAAUAACCACUUGUGUAAGUUUCUAGGGCAGUGAUUCUCAACCUUUUUAGAUUUGAGGCAUCCUUCAGAAAAUGCUAACUCCUAGUUUCACUUGUUUUUUGAUGCCUAAAUAAUCAUAUAGCAGUGUUUCUAUUCCAAAGAACUCAGAAAAACCACAACAUUUCAAAAUAUUUUUAACACUAUGAAUUCCUAUUUGAAAUCUCUGAAUAUCUUGUGAAUCAUAUUUGCUCACCGAAAAUUGCAUGGUACUCUUGCACCCUUGAAAGGAUUUCAAGGCAUCCCAGGAUGCUGCAGGUUAAGAAUCACUUGUUCUAGGGCUAUGGAAGUCCCGUUAAAUUUUUAAAGUUACAUUUUAGAUGCACCUUCCUCAUAGAAACAGUCAUGACUUAAAAAUCUACGGCCUGUAAGUUUAUAUAAUGAGUACCUUGUAAUAACAGAAAUAUGAGAUGAUAGCUUCCCAGUGAGAUGUGUAAGAGUUGUCUGUAGCCUCACAUAGCUCCAAAAUCACUUACAUUAAAACAAUAUUCAAAUAGAGGCAGCAUGUUCCUCUUCUGAGGCUCAGGCAGGUGUCAUGGGAUGGGAAAUAGAAAGAAAAUGUUUCCACGGCAGGUGACUCAUUGUAAAUAGCAGCUGUCUGAAGCAGUUGAGGAGAUUGAAAUGUUAGAAGUCCUGGAAAGUAGAGAGCAGAUGAGGCAAAUAAUCACGACAAAUUAAUAUAUCAAGUGGCUCUGUUGUUUAGCAUGUGGACAUCCACAUACUUUUUGUGGAUAAGUAUUUGCCCAUCCAGCCUGCCAGCCAAAAAGGUGGAGCACCACGGGCCUAAUGUUACAUACAUGGAAUCAUAGGGCUGGAAGGGGCUGUCACCAGUCAUCUAAUCCAAC